UGUUACUUGAUUCCAGAAUCAACAAUUAUCAUGAGGGCAGGCGGCACCAAGUAGUAGCUUGUCGGCGCAGAAGUCUCACGUUCAUCCUGUAACGUGUAAGUAUCACACACACGCACACGCACACACACACUCACACACACACACACACACACACACACACACACACACACAUCCACUCACUCGCUUAAAACUUCGCCUCCUUCUUUUUUCUUUUUUAUUAAUAUAAGUUGCUUUUUCAAAAUUAUAAACAAGCAUACGACCUCUCGUUUGGAAGAUUCAAGGAUGGAAUACGAUGGGUGCUAUCGAAAGAUGACAUCUUCAACAAUUUCCUUGGUAGAAACAACAUUCACGCGGAUUUUAAACGGCACAAGGUAAGGCCAGUAGGGAAUCCUCUUAAACACUAGUACACAAUCACACCAACCAUACUCACAUACACAUUAGUUUAGCCUUCAUACACCGACACAUAAAAACAUUUAAACUCUCGCACACUCGCAUUCGGACCCUGCCACACAAUGGUAAAAGGGUGAUGGCGACAUGGAAGAAGAUUCUGAGAGAAAUGCGAAUGCGGAUAUUCACAUUUUGGAAACAGCAUUCUGUCAACCAGUCAAGAACUCUGUCGUCGUGCGAAGAUGACGUCUACAAAAAUUUCCUUGUUAGAGUAGACAGCCUUGGAGACAGCAUUUUAUCAACCACAUAAGUCAUGGCGAUUUGGGUGGCCAACGUCAAGCAGCCGGCGAUCCGGUUCAGCAUAGCGUCCAAGACCGGCAGGAAAACGACAGACACGGAAAUCACCAGUUUAUUAACUAAAAUGUGUUGUUUAUUAUUGUUUUUUUAUUAUUUUUCUCAAUA